AACGAACGCUGGCGGCAGGCUUAACACAUGCAAGUCGAACGAUCCCUUCGGGGAUAGUGGCAGACGGGUGAGUAACACGUGGGAACGUACCUUUCAGUCGGGAAUAACUCAUGGAAACGUGAGCUAAUACCGGAUACGCCCUUUUGGGGAAAGAUUUAUCGCUGAAAGAUCGGCCCGCGUCUGAUUAGCUAGUUGGUGGGGUAAUGGCCUACCAAGGCGACGAUCAGUAGCUGGCCUGAGAGGAUGAUCAGCCACGCUGGGACUGAGACACGGCCCAGACUCCUACGGGAGGCAGCAGUGGGGAAUAUUGGACAAUGGGCGCAAGCCUGAUCCAGCCAUGCCGCGUGAGUGAUGACGGCCUUAGGGUUGUAAAGCUCUUUCGACGGGGACGAUAAUGACGGUACCCGUAGAAGAAGCCCCGGCUAACUUCGUGCCAGCAGCCGCGGUAACA
rnacentral:rRNA from 1 species